UGCGUAGGCGGCGCGGAAAGUUGGGUGUGAAAUCCCUCGGCUCAACCGAGGAACUGCGCCCAAAACUGCCGUGCUCGAGGGAGAUAGAGGUGAGCGGAACUUAGGGUGGAGCGGUGAAAUGCGUUGAUAUCCUAAGGAACACCGGUGGCGAAAGCGGCUCACUGGAUCUCUUCUGACGCUGAUGCACGAAAGCUGGUAGCAACG
rnacentral:rRNA from 1 species